rnacentral:lncRNA from 1 species
GAUACCCUCGCACACAGGGUAUUAUCAUGAAGACAGGGGUCAAUCUCUUCUUCACCAUUGUGUCCCUAGCAUCAAGUACAGUGAAAUGAUUCAAGAAACACAUAUUUUAUUUUUGAGAGAGGAUAAAUUUAUGAUCAGUGCAAGAAAGUUACAUAAAGAAGAAAAUUUGCUCAAAUCAAGGAAGAACUUUCCCUGUUCUCUGCCUUAAUCACUUGGAUUGGGACACCCUGCCUCCUCCUGACCUUUGAUGCUUGACUCUGAAAGGAAUGAAAAUUUGUUUGAUUCUUGGGACUCCAGCACCAGAGUGUGCCUCAUGUCCAAAAGAAGCAACCACGUCUCCACUGGGUUCAAGUUCCCACUGGUAAAGGAUUCCACUAUAGUGUAUUUGUUCCCUUGUAAAGUCUGGGUUUGCUCAAGUGUCUUCUGCCUUGAAGUCAGAGAAAGCCUGGAGCAGAGAAUGAGAAGCCCACAGUGCAGCUGAGGUAAAGUGCCAUAAGGUUACAUCUGAGUUGCGCAGUUACCAUGACAAUGACUGGAUGAAAGGGUGGGCCUGACUUUGUAGGGCUGGGUACAAGUGGUGUCUGCUGCAGCAUGGACCGUUCAGAGACGUAAGUCUUGUACUGACUUCGGUGCAUCAAACAGCCUUCAAGUGGGUGGUUGAUAAUCCUGCCUAAAAAGACCAAUAUAAAAGCAUGUGUUAGAUAAGCUAUAGACUUCAC